rnacentral:rRNA from 1 species
GAUGAACGCUGGCGGCGUGCCUAAUACAUGCAAGUAGAACGCUGAAGGAGGAGCUUGCUCUUCUGGAUGAGUUGCGAACGGGUGAGUAACGCGUAGGUAACCUGCCUGUUAGCGGGGGAUAACUAUUGGAAACGAUAGCUAAUACCGCAUGACAACAGUUAUUGCAUGAUAACUGUUGAAAAGUGGCAACUGCUCCACUACCAGAUGGACCUGCGUUGUAUUAGCUAGUUGGUGAGGUAACGGCUCACCAAGGCGACGAUACAUAGCCGACCUGAGAGGGGGAUCGGCCACACUGGGAGGGAGACACGGCCCAGAGUGCUACGGGAGGCAGCAGUAGGGAAUCGUGGGGCAUGGACGGAAGUCUGAGCGAGAAACGCCGAGGGAGUGAAGAAGGGUGUCGGAUCGUAAAGCUCGGUUGUAAGAGAAGAACGAGUGUGAGAGUGGAACGUUCACACUGUGACGGUAUCUUACCAGAAAGGGACGGCUAACUACGUG